GCUCCACAAGAGGGCACAAGGCGGGCUCUCCAGGGCCACUCUGGAGUGAUUGAUGCCUUGCUCCUGUGAAUGGUCCUGUGGUGCCAGUCUCACAAGGACAUUACUUCUCAAAUAUGAAGGAUGAGAGGAUAAAUCCCGUGAAAGAAAGAAAAGAAAGCGUUCCCAGGAGCCUGAUAGUUUUUAAAACUCCUUCUGUGGGUGUUUUUGGCAAUGAUCCUUGGCUAGGCAGUCCAGCCCGUUCCAGAAGUACUCUGCACUUCAGCCGUCCUGGUGUUCUGGGUCUGAUGAUGAUGACCCUUGUGAACAAGACAGAAUCUCUCCUUAUGCAACCCAAGAAGUUAUUCCUUGAACUACUGAUUCUUCUGCCUCUACUUCCCGACCACCAAAACAGUCUCCCCAUCCCCUAGGAUUGAAUUAUUCUUAUUAAUAAAAUAGGAGGAUGUA